AGCGAACGCUGGCGGCAGGCCUAACACAUGCAAGUCGAACGAACCUUUCGGGGUUAGUGGCGGACGGGUGAGUAACACGUGGGAACGUGCCUUUAGGUUCGGAAUAACUCAGGGAAACUUGUGCUAAUACCGAAUGUGCCCUUCGGGGGAAAGAUUUAUCGCCUUUAGAGCGGCCCGCGUCUGAUUAGCUAGUUGGUUGAGGUAAUGGCUCACCAAGGCGACGAUCAGUAGCUGGUCUGAGAGGAUGAUCAGCCACAUUGGGACUGAGACACGGCCCGAACUCCUACGGGAAGCAGCAGUGGGGAAUCUUGCGCAAUGGGCGAAAGCCUGACGCAGCCAUGCCGCGUGAAUGAUGAAGGUCUUAGGAUUGUAAAAUUCUUUCACCGGGGACGAUAAUGACGGUACCCGGAGAAGAAGCCCCGGCUAACUUCGUG
rnacentral:rRNA from 1 species